AGGGAGUGGGGGGUGCCUAAUACAUGCAAGUCGAGCGGACAGAUGGGAGCUUGCUCCCUGAUGUUAGCGGCGGACGGGUGAGUAACACGUGGGUAACCUGCCUGUAAGACUGGGAUAACUCCGGGAAACCGGGGCUAAUACCGGAUGCUUGUUUGAACCGCAUGGUUCAAACAUAAAAGGUGGCUUCGGCUACCACUUACAGAUGGACCCGCGGCGCAUUAGCUAGUUGGUGAGGUAACGGCUCACCAAGGCAACGAUGCGUAGCCGACCUGAGAGGGUGAUCGGCCACACUGGGACUGAGACACGGCCCAGACUCCUACGGGAGGCAGCAGUAGGGAAUCUUCCGCAAUGGACGAAAGUCUGACGGAGCAACGCCGCGUGAGUGAUGAAGGUUUUCGGAUCGUAAAGCUCUGUUGUUAGGGAAGAACAAGUACCGUUCGAAUAGGGCGGUACCUUGACGGUACCUAACCAGAAAGCCACGGCUAACUACGUGCCAGCAGCCGCGGUAAUACGUAGGUGGCAAGCGUUGUCCGGAAUUAUUGGGCGUAAAGGGCUCGCAGGCGGUUCCUUAAGUCUGAUGUGAAAGCCCCCGGCUCAACCGGGGAGGGUCAUUGGAAACUGGGGAACUUGAGUGCAGAAGAGGAGAGUGGAAUUCCACGUGUAGCGGUGAAAUGCGUAGAGAUGUGGAGGAACACCAGUGGCGAAGGCGACUCUCUGGUCUGUAACUGACGCUGAGGAGCGAAAGCGUGGGGAGCGAACAGGAUUAGAUACCCUGGUAGUCCACGCCGUAAACGAUGAGUGCUAAGUGUUAGGGGGGUUUCCGCCCCUUAGUGCUGCAGCUAACGCAUUAAGCACUCCCGCCUGGGGAGUACGGUCGCAGGACUGAAACUCAAGGAAUUGACGGGGGCCCGCACAAGCGGUGGAGCAUGUGGUUUAAUUCGAGCAACGCGGAGAAACUUACCAGGUCUUU
rnacentral:rRNA from 1 species